CCCUCCUGUUUGAUAAAUCCACUCCAAAGAUAGAUGAUAGGACUUUAUUCCAAUUGAAGCCUCACUGUAAAUUCCUAUGUAGAGACCAGGAUGGUCUCGAUCUCUUGACCUCAUGAUCCACCCGCCUCGGCCUCCCAAAGUGCUGGGAUUAUAGGCGUAAGCCACCGCGCCCGGCCUACAAUUUGCUUAUGAUCUAUCAAAAGAUAGACCAUAACAGAAAACUAAAGAAUCAAAUAGGUCCGUGAAGACAAAAAGAGAAAGAGGAGGAAAAAGACAGACACUGGAGAUUAUAUGAAAAUUUUCUUUUGGCUCAUUCGUAACACCAGUAUGGUAUUAGGGUCCUCCACAGACAUGGUACCAACAGGAUGUGUAUAUAAACAUGCAGAUGCAAAGAAAGAGAGAGAGCAUGACGACAUGCGUGAGACAAAGAGAGUAGCUAUAUAAGGAUCUGGCUCAUGUAAUUGUGGAGUGUGGCAAUUCUGAAAUUUAAAAAGCUGGCUGGCAGGCUAGAAAUUCAGGUAAGUGUUAAUAUA
rnacentral:lncRNA from 13 species